UUGAUAGUCCUGGAGACCGAAAUCCUGUCUUCAUGAACAGAACUGGUAACUGCUCAGGUUACAACCAUGCAAGCUUCUUCUACUGCCCCACCAAUGUGCCUCAACCCUGAGCUGGAGGGCUCACCUGUGUGCCACAAAUGACAACAAGGGUGCCAUUUUCUCUAGGGUGGCUAUUGCACAAAGGCCACC
rnacentral:sRNA from 1 species